CAGACAUCCACAAAUAGACAUCCACAAACAGACAUCCACAAAUAGACAUCCACAAACAGACAUCCACAAACAGACAUCCACAAACAGACAUCCACACAUCCACAGACAUCCACACAUACACAGACAUCCACACAUACACAGACAUCCACAAACAGACAUCCACACAUCCACAAACAGACAUCCACAUCCACACAUCCACACACCCACAGACAUCCACAAACAGACAUCCACAAACAGACAUCCACACAUACACAGACAUCCACACAUCCACAAACAGACAUCCACACAUCCACAAACAGACAUACAUACAUCCACAAACA